UCCUCUAUUUUCUAACCACCAACAAUCCCUCAUUAAUCGCUCUCUCCUUAGUCCCUCCCCCCUCUCUCUCUACAUUAUUUAGAUGCUCUAUCUUCUUGCCUCAAUUUAGUCUGUUUUUCAACCCCCUCAGUUUUGGUCGUUGCUAUAAAUAGUACUAAUUUCUAGGGCUUUAUAUUUCUUAACUAAAAUUUUUGAUUAUUUCGUGGUUGUAUAAAUUACUUCCUGCUUCAGUUUUGAUAGAGCAAAGAAGAUGUUUAUUUCCAGUUGAAUCUAAGGUUGAUAAGAGGAGUACAAGCUAUCAAGAAACUUUUUGAAGCACAUCAAGGAGAUUUGGAGGAGAUUCGACACGUUGUGGUGGAAUCGACUUCAAGUGAUAGAGGAGCAUCUUGCACACGACCACUAGACGAUAGUCUUAGUAUGGCAAACAAUAUGUUGAAGGAUGGAUGGAGUUGAGCCUCAAC